rnacentral:rRNA from 1 species
GAUGAACGCUGGCGGCGUGCCUAAUACAUGCAAGUCGAGCGAACAGAUGAUGAGCUUGCUCCUCUGACGUUAGCGGCGGACGGGUGAGUCACACGUGGAUACCCUCCCUAUAAGACUGGUAUAACUUCGGGACACCGGAGCUAAUACCGGAUGAUAUAUUGAACCGCAUGGUUCAAUAGUGAAAGACGGUUUUGCUGUCACUUAUAGAUGGUUACGUGCCGGAUUAGCUAGUUGGUAGGGUAACAGCCUACCAAGGCUACGAUGCGUAGCCGAGCUGAGAGGAUGAUCGGCCACACUGGAACUGAGACACGGUCCAGACGCCUACGGGAGGCAGCAGUAGGGAAUCUUCGGCAAUGGGCGAAAGCCUGACGCAGCAACGCCGCGUGAGUGAAGAAGGCCUUCGGGUCGUAAAGCCCUGUUAUUGGGAAAGAACAGCUGUGGAAUUAAACAUGGCCGUCUUGACGGUACCGAAUCAAAAAGCACCGGCUAACUACGUG